rnacentral:rRNA from 1 species
CCUACGGGUGGCAGCAGUGGGGAAUAUUGGGCAAUGGGCGCAAGCCUGACCCAGCAACGCCGCGUGAAGGAAGAAGGCUUUCGGGUUGUAAACUUCUUUUCUCCGGGCCGCAGAAAGUGACGGUACCUGAGGAAUAAGCCACGGCUAACUACGUGCCAGCAGGCGCGGUAAUACGUAGGGGGCAAGCGUGCUCCGGAUGUUCGGGGUGUAAAGGGCGUGUAGGCGGGGAAGCAAGUCAGAUGUGAAAACCACGGGCUCAACCUGUGGCCUGCAUUUGAAACUGUGUUUCUUGAGUACUGGAGAGGCAGACGGAAUGCCUAGUGUAGCGGUGAAAUGCGUAGAUAUUAGGAGGAACACCGGUGGCGAAGGCGGUCUGCUGGACAGCAACUGACGCUGAGGCGCGAAAGCGUGGGGAGCAAACAGGAUUAGAUACCCCAGUAGUC